UUAGUGGCUUCAACACUGUUAUUACCACCUCCUGCAAAAAUGAUGGACAGUGUCUAAUGAAGGAAUGAGAGACUGGGAGAGAAAAUUAGUACAAUGAACCACUGGCAUACAAAACAGUAGAGACGAGCAAGAAGAGAACAGAGAACCCAUGGGGCACUAGAAUGUGAGAUGAGGUCUGAGAAGAUCAGAAAUCCAGGGAUGGAAUGCAUGAAGCAAGGAGAAUGUGGAUGUUAGAGUCUCCUGGUAAACAGUGAAUUUGGGAAGGUCCUAUAUCAGCUAUGCAUCGCCACUAUAUGCUGGUAAUGGACAACCACAAAGACUCAACAGCAUUCAACAGUGCAGCAGCAGUACCCUACAGCUGGGCUCAGGCCAAAGGUGAGUGAUGGGAGGGUGUGGGCCACUCUACUGAUCAGCCUCCAUCCAACC
rnacentral:lncRNA from 13 species